rnacentral:rRNA from 1 species
ACACGACUACAUUAGAUACCCCCGUAGUCCUAGCCGUAAACGAUACUCGCUAGGUGUCGGCCACGGUGCGACCGUUGUCGGUGCCGUAGGGAAGCCGUGAAGCGAGCCACCUGGGAAGUACGGCCGCAAGGCUGAAACUUAAAGGAAUUGGCGGGGGAGCACCGACAACGGGUGGAGCUUGCGGUUUAAUUGGACUCAACGCCGGGAAGCUCACCGGAUAAGACAGCGGAAUGAUUGCCGGGCUGAAGACCCUGCAUGACCAGCUG